rnacentral:rRNA from 1 species
AGAGGCUUUGUCAAUGGGGGAAACCCUGAACAAGCGACGCCGCGUGGAGGAUGAAGGCCUUUGGGUUGUAAACUCCUUUUGUUGGGGAAGAAAUGCGAUCAGGUGAACAAUCUGGUCGUUUGACGGUACCCGACGAAUAAGCUCCGGCUAACUCCGUGCCCGCAGCCGCGGUAACACGGGGGGAGCAAGCGUUGUUCGGAAUCCCUGGGCGUAAAGGGCGUGUAGGCGGUUGGGUAAGUGGGAUGUGAAAUGCCUCGGCUCACCCGAGGAUCGGCAUCCCAAACUGCCCGACUUGAGUAUGGGAGAGGAUGAGGGAAUUCCUGGUGUAGCGGUGAAAUGCGUAGAUAUCAGGAGGAACACCGGUGGCGAAGGCGCUCAUCUGGCCCAAUACUGACGCUGAGGCGCGAAAGCUAGGGGAGCAAAC